rnacentral:tRNA from 1 species
GGUGGCUCAAUGGUAGAGUGCUUGCCUUGCAUGCAUGAAGCCCUGAGUUUGAUUCCUCAGCACCA